AGGACGAACGCUGGCGGCGUGCUUAACACAUGCAAGUCGAACGGUGAAAGAGGAGCUUGCUCCUCUCGAUCAGUGGCGAACGGGUGAGUAACACGUGAGUAACCUGCCCUUGACUCUGGGAUAAGCGUUGGAAACGACGUCUAAUACCGGAUACGACCUUCGGAGGCAUCUCCAGGAGGUGGAAAGAAUUUUGGUCAAGGAUGGACUCGCGGCCUAUCAGCUAGUUGGUGAGGUAACGGCCCACCAAGGCGACGACGGGUAGCCGGCCUGAGAGGGUGACCGGCCACACUGGGACUGAGACACGGCCCAGACUCCUACGGGAGGCAGCAGUGGGGAAUAUUGCACAAUGGGCGAAAGCCUGAUGCAGCAACGCCGCGUGAGGGACGACGGCCUUCGGGUUGUAAACCUCUUUAGUAGGGAAGAAGCGAAAGUGACGGUACCUGCAGAAAAGCACCGGCUAACUACGUGCCAGCAGCCGCGGUAA
rnacentral:rRNA from 1 species